rnacentral:lncRNA from 1 species
CACUGUGGGCAACAUCAUCAUCAUAUACCAGUUGAUCAGGUGGUGGUGCAUAUAUAACGCCGUAACCUUUUCUCAUAUCUCAUAUACAUAUAUAUAUAUACACGCGUAUAUAACGCCGUCAGAGUCGUGGGUGAAUGAACAUGUAAAUGAAUGUAAUGCAUGAGAAGUAUGUUAAUAUAAUUUUUCAGAAUGUCAUAAGACCAUUAUACUAGUGCCGGCUCAACCCCCAGGCCACAAAAGAUACAUAAUAACACCAAAAUACUCGCUAAAUUCUUGUCACUAUAAUUCUUAUUAUAAACUGGAGUAAUAAAUAACUGGGGCUUCUCAUAAAGAACAUAAGAGAUUCAAAGAGUAGAAAAGUGAUCAAACAGGACUUAAAGAUCAUGGAGAAUUUUCUAGUUGAGAUUUUUUUUUAAUGAUAUUGAAGAUGUUAUAUAUGUUUCAAGCCUGGUUUCCGAUUUUAGUUUCACAUUUUGAAACCAACCAAUGUAGUGCUUUGUUUCCUGUUGACAUGCAGAUAUUCAAUCUCUAGACAAAUGAUGGUUGCUUGCUACGGAGAGUCAGUAUCAUAUUAGUCUAAAAAGGACAUAUUCAAGUUGUUUAGCAUUAUCCAACAUAAGACUAGAUUCAACUACACAAAAAAUAACAUUCAAAAUAAAAUCCUUUUGACAGCUUCUAUGUGGCAGGCUUGGGGACAAGAUAAACAGUUCAGUAGGACAAGAUCCUGAUGCAAAAAGCAUAAUGGUGUCCUUGAUAUAUAUGGCUUUGAGAGCUUCAAAAUCAACAGGUUUGGAUAAUUAUUUUUGCCAAUUUUGAGUAUAUAAAAUCUUUACCUCAAAAUUAAUAGCUCGUAACAUAAUUUACCUCAGUUUUGAGCAAUUCUGCAUCAACCUAACAAAUGAGAAUUUUAUUAAGUAAGUCUAACGCCUCAUGCUAAGAUUUGGCUUUAGGCCAUUUGUUAUAUUGAGCUGCCUCUGCAUUAUAUCUCUGAUUAAUAUCACGAAACAUAUUUUAUCACUCACUUCCUUUCCUCAUGCAGAAUAUAGAUUUAAAAUUCUAUAUAUAGAUGUCCCAUAAAUUUUCUCUUUUUUUUUUCAACACAAUUUUAGAACCAUGCAGAUAUUUUAAAAAGUUGGAUUCAAAAGAGAGUACUGUAAUAUAACUUCGCAUAAACAUAUUCAUUAUCUUAUGCAUCUCUCAUCUGGAACCUAAUAAAAUUUAUUUCAUAGUAUAGUUUAUAUUUGGACGACAGAAAGCUUUGAAUAAAAAAAAAUUGAUACAUAUGAAGCACUAGAGCAAGGUAAAGUUUACCUUAAGAACAUUACUGUCUUAAAAAAAAACCUUCCUCGUCUGAAUUGGAUUGACCGGCUAAUUUAUUAUUCCUCUUCUCCUCUUUGACUAAACCUCCAUUAACAGAUUUUCUGAAAGUAGCUUAUAAGAUAGAAUAUAACCAAAGAGACCACGUAAGUCUGCAUUUAAGAAACUAAACCUCCCUUUUCUAUGCUUUUGUUGCUGCUUUGCUUGGAAACGUACCCAUGUAGACUAGUCAUAGAUAGAGAUAGAAACAGGCAUACCAAUACAUAUAUUUACACAUACUCAUAUGUAUGUAAGAAGGGCAGUUGAUUAAAGCAAUAAGAAAUCACUAGCAUGUGGAAG